GUUGAACUCAAUGCUCUUCAAGGUCUCUUCCAGUCAGGAGGAUUCUGUGAUGACAAGUCCCACUCAGUCACCUUCUCCAGGGCAUUUAAACCUUCAGACUCUGUUCAGAGUCAUGAGGACCCAAGGAGAGACUCAAAGACAGAAGGAUGGGGCAGCCCACAUCUCCAAUGCUCUGGCCUCAAACACAAGGUGCUGACAGAGCAUGGAAGAACUGCUAUGAAACAAUUCUUCCUUCAGAGGAGAAGCAAACUGUCUCCAGGAGCUGCUCCAAGUCCUCUGAAGGUCUGACCUGGACCUUCUCAUUUGGCUUGUGGUGUUAGCUCUAGUGUGCUGACCAUGUCUGAUCUGGCUUUGGAGCUGACACCAGACAAGUCCUUUCUCAGCCUCCAGGCCUCUUGGAAGUCUGUGCCAAGUCAGUGUGAGUGAAUCCUGUCUUCUUUAACUCUGCUUCUGCUGAUCCGAAAGAGG